GUUUUACAAAUCUGCCAUUUCCUUCCCUUGCCCGUGGAAGAUGGGUUAUGGUGUGGUAGAGAAUGGUGCUGUCACACAGCUGGGUGAAGCUGAGGGGCUGCCCUGUUGUGCGUUGAUAUGAAAAAGCCAUUUUGCAGGAAGGCAGAAAUAGAGACUAGGAGGCCAACUCAAAGAUACUGAUUUUUUGGGGUGGUUUUGUGCUCUUUCUUCAUUCUCCCAGGUGUCUUAUUAAAAAUGCAUUAAAAUGAGACAAUUACCCGCUACUGAUAAUUUACACUGCUGCUGCAUCAAAGUACUUUGAAGUACUUGCUAAAUAACAGCUGAGUAAUUGGUACCCAUCUCUGCUGUCUGCCACAAAACCAUGGACAAAGUUUUCUUCUGGUUGGCUGUAGUACGUGUACCCUGAUAAUCAAAUAAGAAAAGGCAAAAAUAAUAUCUACUCCACAAAACCAUGGUCCGAAGGUUGCAGCUUCUUCCACAGAAGACCUUCAGAAAACAACAUGGAAAUUGCAGAGGGGCACAGAUGCAAAAGCUUAGAAGUCAUACGCUCAACAACUUAGCACCACGUGGUAGAAAAUGAGUCAAUGAGAGACAGGUGAAAACUACUGAUCUGCAGAACCGUGAGGAAGAGAAGACCUUCUUACUCCUGCUGAAAGGUCCAAGAGGCAUAAGAAAAACAAGGAUGUUGUCAAUAAGGUAAGCUUGCUCGUCUACUUGUAUGCUCACUCAAGAGUUCACAAACUGGAAGAAUUCCCAGUUUAGGGUGAAUGUUUUCCAGUGUCUAUCCUGUAAGAAGGACUAAACUAUGUCAUCCAUGUAAUAACUUUGAAGCUAUUUAUGUGUUGGUUUUAGAUGGAGAUUAGGAAGCCUGACUGAGAGCUUGUAGUUAUAAUGGG
rnacentral:lncRNA from 1 species